rnacentral:rRNA from 1 species
CAGCAGCCACGGUAAUACGUAGGUGGCAAGCGUUGUCCGGAAUUAUUGGGCGUAAAGGGCUCGCAGGCGGUUUCUUAAGUCUGAUGUGAAAGCCCCCGGCUCAACCGGGGAGGGUCAUUGGAAACUGGGAAACUUGAGUGCAGAAGAGGAGAGUGGAAUUCCAUGUGUAGCGGUGAAAUGCGUAGAGAUGUGGAGGAACACCAGUGGCGAAGGCGACUCUCUGGUCUGUAACUGACGCUGAGGAGCGAAAGCGUGGGGAGCGAACAGGAUUAGAUACCCCUGUAGUCCCUGUCUCUUAUAC